rnacentral:rRNA from 1 species
ACGAACCUUCGGGUUAGUGGCGGACGGGUGAGUAACGCGUGGGAAUCUGCCCUCAGGAGGGGGAUAACGGUUGGAAACGGCCGCUAAUACCCCAUAUGCCGAGAGGUGAAAUUAAUUUCGCCUGAGGAUGAGCCCGCGUCUGAUUAGCUAGUUGGUGAGGUAAGAGCUCACCAAGGCAUCGAUCAGUAGCUGGUCUGAGAGGAUGAUCAGCCACACUGGGACUGAGACACGGCCCAGACUCCUACGGGAGGCAGCAGUGGGGAAUUUUCCGCAAUGGGCGAAAGCCUGACGGAGCAACGCCGCGUGAGGGAUGAAGGCCUCUGGGCUGUAAACCUCUUUUAUCAAGGAAGAAGAUCUGACGGUACUUGAUGAAUAAGCCACGG